AACGAACGCUGGCGGCAUGCCUAACACAUGCAAGUCGAACGAUUGCCUUCGGGUGAUAGUGGCGCACGGGUGCGUAACGCGUGGGAAUCUGCCCUUAGGUUCGGAAUAACAGCUGGAAACGGCUGCUAAUACCGGAUGAUAUCGCGAGAUCAAAGAUUUAUCGCCUGAGGAUGAGCCCGCGUUGGAUUAGGUAGUUGGUGGGGUAAAGGCCUACCAAGCCGACGAUCCAUAGCUGGUCUGAGAGGAUGAUCAGCCACACUGGGACUGAGACACGGCCCAGACUCCUACGGGAGGCAGCAGUGGGGAAUAUUGGACAAUGGGCGCAAGCCUGAUCCAGCAAUGCCGCGGGAGUGAUGAAGGCCUAGGGUUGUAAAGCUCUUUUACCCGGGAAGAUAAUGACUGUACCGGGAGAAUAAGCCCCGGCUAACUCCGUG
rnacentral:rRNA from 1 species